rnacentral:rRNA from 1 species
GACGAACGCUGGCGGCGUGCUUAACACAUGCAAGUCGAACGGAAAGGCCCUGCUUUUGUGGGGUGCUCGAGUGGCGAACGGGUGAGUAAGACGUGAGUAACCUGCCCUUGACUUUGGGAUAACUUCAGGAAACUGGGGCUAAUACCGGAUAGGAGCUCCUGCUGCAUGGUGGGGGUUGGAAAGUUUCGGCGGUUGGGGAUGGACUCGCGGCUUAUCAGCUUGUUGGUGGGGUAGUGGCUUACCAAAGCUUUGACGGGUAGCCGGCCUGAGAGGGUGACCGGCCACAUUGGGACUGAGAUACGGCCCAGACUCCUACGGGAGGCAGCAGUGGGGAAUAUUGCACAAUGGGCGGAAGCCUGAUGCAGCAACGCCGCGUGCGGGAUGACGGCCUUCGGGUUGUAAACCGCUUUCGCCUGUGACGAAGCGUGAGUGACGGUAAUGGGUAAAGAAGCACCGGCUAACUACGUG